rnacentral:rRNA from 1 species
UACAGAGGUCUCAAGCGUUGUUCGGAUUUAUUGGGCGUAAAGCGUGCGUAGGCGGCGGGGUAAGUGAGGUGUGAAAUCCCGGAGCUUAACUCCGGAACUGCACUUUAUACUGCCUUGCUCGAGGGCUGGAGAGGAGACUGGAAUUUACGGUGUAGCAGUGAAAUGCGUAGAGAUCGUAAGGAAGACCAGUGGCGAAGGCGGGUUGCUGGGCUGACACUGACGCUGAGGCGCGAAAGCUAGGGGAGCGAACGGG